CGAAACCACAGUGAUCUACCCAUGUCCAGGUUGAAGCACAGGUAAAAAUGUGUGGAGGACCGAACCAGUGAGCGUUGAAAAGCUUUUGGAUGAGAUGUGGGUAGGGGUGAAAUGCCAAUCGAACGUGGAGAUAGCUGGUUCUCCCCGAAAUAGCUUUAGGGCUAGCCUCAUGGUAAGAGUACAGGCGGUAGAGCACUGAACGAGGUAGGGGCCUGUCCGGCUACCGAACUUAAUCAAACUGCGAAUGGCUGUACUUAUACAUGGGAGUCAGACUGCGAGUAAUAAGGCCCGUAGUCAAGAGGGAAACAGCCCAGACCAACAGCUAAGGUCCCCAAUGCCGUACUAAGUGGCGAAGGAUGUGGAAUUUCGAAAACAACCAGGAUGUUGGCUUAGAAGCAGCCACCAUUAAAAGAGUGCGUAAUAGCUCACUGGUCGAGAGACUCUGCGCCGAAGAUGACCGGGGCUAAAGUACGGAACCGAAGCUUUGGCAAGUAUCGUAAGAUACUUGGGUAGGGGAGCGUUCCUGCAUGGGAGAAGCCUGACCGGAAGGACAGGUGGACAUUCAGGAAGAGAGAAUGCCGGUAUGAGUAGCGAAAAGAAAGGUGAGAAUCCUUUCCACCGAAAGCCUAAGGGUUCCUGGGCAACGAUCGUCGACCCAGGGUAAGUCGGGACCUAAUCCGAGGCGGAGACGCGUAGGAGAUGGACAACAGGUUGAAAAUCCUGUACCGCAGGAGUCUGUUUGAGCGAAGGAGUGACACAGAAAGGAAUGCGCGCGUGCGAUUGGAAGAGCACGUCCAAGCUGGUAGGUUGUGUGGCAGGCAAAUCCGCCAUACUAAAAGCCGAGAAGUGAUGGGGAGCCAUUGGAGACAAUGGCGAAGGGGCAGGAACUAGGCUGUCGAGAAAAGCUUCUAGUGAGGACUCAGGCGCCCGUACCGCAAACCGACACAGGUAGGCAGGAAGAGAAUUCUAAGGUGCGCGGGAAAACCCUCGUUAAGGAACUCGGCAAAAUGUAUCCGUAACUUCGGGAAAAGGAUAGCCUAAAGUAUGUGAGCUGCAGAAACGCAGGGAGCAGGAAUAGGCGGCAGAAGAGAGGCCCAAGCGACUGUUUACCACAAACACAGGCGUCUGCUAAAGCGAAAGCUGACGUAUAGAUGCUGACACCUGCCCGGUGCUGGAAGGUUAAGAGGACGUGUUAGCCGAAAGGCGAAGCAGAGAAUUGAAGCCCCAGUAAACGGCGGCCGUAACUAUAACGGUCCUAAGGUAGCGAAAUUCCUUGUCGGGUAAGUUCCGACCCGCACGAAAGGUGUAACGAUUUGGGCACUGUCUCAACGAGGGACCCGGUGAAAUUGAAGUACCUGUGAAGAUGCAGGUUACCCGCGACUGGACAGAAAGACCCCAUGGAGCUUUACUGUAACCUGAGAUUGGAUUCCGGUAAGAGAUGUACAGGAUAGUUGGGAGGCUGAGAAACGGGUACGCCAGUAUCCGCAGAGCCGCUGGUGGGAUACCAACCUUGUUUUAUUGGGAUUCUAACGAGAGACGUAACGAGUCUUUGGACAGUCUCAGGCGGGCAGUUUGACUGGGGCGGUCGCCUCCG
rnacentral:rRNA from 1 species